GAUGAACGCUGGCGGCGUGCCUAAUACAUGCAAGUCGAGCGAACGGACGAGAAGCUUGCUUCUCUGAUGUUAGCGGCGGACGGGUGAGUAACACGUGGAUAACCUACCUAUAAGACUGGGAUAACUUCGGGAAACCGGAGCUAAUACCGGAUAAUAUUUUGAACCGCAUGGUUCAAAAGUGAAAGACGGUCUUGCUGUCACUUAUAGAUGGAUCCGCGCUGCAUUAGCUAGUUGGUAAGGUAACGGCUUACCAAGGCAACGAUGCAUAGCCGACCUGAGAGGGUGAUCGGCCACACUGGAACUGAGACACGGUCCAGACUCCUACGGGAGGCAGCAGUAGGGAAUCUUCCGCAAUGGGCGAAAGCCUGACGGAGCAACGCCGCGUGAGUGAAGAAGGUCUUCGGAUCGUAAAACUCUGUUAUUAGGGAAGAACAUAUGUGUAAGUAACUGUGCACAUCUUGACGGUACCUAAUCAGAAAGCCACGGCUAACUACGUG
rnacentral:rRNA from 1 species